UUUAUUGUGAAAUCUCCAAAAGAUUUUGGACAGAUUUGGAGUCUCACUUUUUUUUGAACCCACCAACUUUAUCUACUCCUUAAACCUUACAGAUAUCAUCUGUUUCUACGAUAAUUCAGGUGUGAGGAUGGUGGAUCAGGAAAGACAGGGGAAGGCAACAGUUUAGCAGGUCCUGGGCUCCAGGUGCUUCCAGGUUCUGGAUGGUGCUGACCCUGUUCAGACUCUGCUGAAGGAAGAGCUGAGCCGACUCCACAGAACCAGAACCGCAACGCGAGUCCACCAAGUCCAGACCGUUGCCUAAA